rnacentral:rRNA from 1 species
AUGGGGCUUUGGACCUUUAAUCAGGCAUUAGCACGCCGAGAGCUUAUGAGGAUGAUAGUGUUGCAUGAAUUGGCAUUCUCAUUGGUGGAGUAAGAUGGAUUUAGAAGAUUUGUCUCUAAUCUAAAUCCUAGCUUUAAGAUGAUAUGUAGAAGAAUAGUGAAGGAGGACUGCAUGAAAGCAUUUAAGGAAGAGAAGAGAAUUCUACAAAGGAUGUUCCAAAACUCCAAAUCCAAGAUUUCUUUGACUACGGACCUGUGGACAUCAAAUCAGACAGUGGGCUACAUUUGCAUCACAGUCCACUUCAUUGAUGAGGAGUGGAAGCUGAUGAGGAUACAGACCUGGGGUAGGGUCAUAGGCCUGACCUAUACGUCCUACCCAAGGUCACUACCCAAGAAGGCAAGAAGGUCAAGAGACAACAUGAGACCCCCGAUCGAAGAUGUCAAGUGCAAUCCACUCGACAUCAUGUCACUCGGGAGUCUCCUACCUACUGUCACUCGACCUACCAGAGAAUCACUUGACCUCCCGAAGACCAGGAGUCACUCAGCGUGCAACGGACAAGCAUUCACUCCUUAG